rnacentral:rRNA from 1 species
GGAAGACCAAGGGUUCCUGUCCAACGUUAAUCGGGGCAGGGUGAGUCGACCCCUAAGGCGAGGCCGAAAGGCGUAGUCGAUGGGAAACAGGUUAAUAUUCCUGUACUUGGUGUUACUGCGAAGGGGGGACGGAGAAGGCUAUGUUGGCCGGGCGACGGUUGUCCCGGUUUAAGCGUGUAGGCUGGUUUUCCAGGCAAAUCCGGAAAAUCAAGGCUGAGGCGUGAUGACGAGGCACUACGGUGCUGAAGCAACAAAUGCCCUGCUUCCAGGAAAAGCCUCUAAGCAUCAGGUAACAUCAAAUCGUACCCCAAACCGACACAGGUGGUCAGGUAGAGAAUACCAAGGCGCUUGAGAGAACUCGGGUGAAGGAACUAGGCAAAAUGGUGCCGUAACUUCGGGAGAAGGCACGCUGAUAUGUAGGUGAAGCGACUUGCUCGUGGAGCUGAAAUCAGUCGAAGAUACCAGCUGGCUGCAACUGUUUAUUAAAAACACAGCACUGUGCAAACACGAAAGUGGACGUAUACGGUGUGACGCCUGCCCGGUGCCGGAAGGUUAAUUGAUGGGGUUAGCGGUAACGCGAAGCUCUUGAUCGAAGCCCCGGUAAACGGCGGCCGUAACUAUAACGGUCCUAAGGUAGCGAAAUUCCUUGUCGGGUAAGUUCCGACCUGCACGAAUGGCGUAAUGAUGGCCAGGCUGUCUCCACCCGAGACUCAGUGAAAUUGAACUCGCUGUGAAGAUGCAGUGUACCCGCGGCAAGACGGAAAGACCCCGUGAACCUUUACUAUAGCUUGACACUGAACAUUGAGCCUUGAUGUGUAGGAUAGGUGGGAGGCUUUGAAGUGUGGACGCCAGUCUGCAUGGAGCCGACCUUGAAAUACCACCCUUUAAUGUUUGAUGUUCUAACGUUGGCCCCUGAUCGGGGUUGCGGACAGUGUCUGGUGGGUAGUUUGACUGGGGCGGUCUCCUCCUAAAGAGUAACGGAGGAGCACGAAGGUUGGCUAAUCCUGGUCGGACAUCAGGAGGUUAGUGCAAUGGCAUAAGCCAGCUUGACUGCGAGCGUGACGGCGCGAGCAGGUGCGAAAGCAGGUCAUAGUGAUCCGGUGGUUCUGAAUGGAAGGGCCAUCGCUCAACGGAUAAAAGGUACUCCGGGGAUAACAGGCUGAUACCGCCCAAGAGUUCAUAUCGACGGCGGUGUUUGGCACCUCGAUGUCGGCUCAUCACAUCCUGGGGCUGAAGUAGGUCCCAAGGGUAUGGCUGUUCGCCAUUUAAAGUGGUACGCGAGCUGGGUUUAGAACGUCGUGAGACAGUUCGGUCCCUAUCUGCCGUGGGCGCUGGAGAACUGAGGGGGGCUGCUCCUAGUACGAGAGGACCGGAGUGGACGCAUCACUGGUGUUCGGGUUGUCAUGCCAAUGGCACUGCCCGGUAGCUAAAUGCGGAAGAGAUAAGUGCUGAAAGCAUCUAAGCACGAAACUUGCCCCGAGAUGAGUUCUCCCUGACUCCUUGAGAGUCCUGAAGGAACGUUGAAGACGACGACGUU